rnacentral:lncRNA from 1 species
ACAGAAAUAAAGAUGCAACAAAGCAACGGGGAACGAUCAAGGUCACCGAACCGAACGUCAUUUCCGAACUAACAAUUGUUCUUUGUCUGAAAAGUUGAAACAGGUAUAAUCCAAGACAACCAUGCAAGAAGCAGGUGUCGCCCAAAGAAGAAGGUACAUGGGUACAAGAAAUAUUUUGGCAAUAAGGAAUUCACUCGAAAGGUAAGUUUCUACGAGACUCCCUUUAAUCUUCUACUAAAACAAGAAAAUUCAAAAAAGAGGUCGGUUAGUAUUCUCGAACUUUGUCCCCAGCCAGUCAGCAUUAGGGUUUUAAACCCUAAACUGAACUUUUUCCUUUAGUCAGCAUUAGGGUUUUAAACCCUAAACUGAACUCUUUCCAUUUAGUCACCAUUAGGGUUUUAAAACCCUAAACUGAACUCUUUCCUUCCAGUCAGCAUUAGGGUUUUAAACCCUAAAUUGAACUUUUUCCUUUAGUCAGCAUUAGGGUUUUAAACCCUAAACUGAACUUUUCCUUUCAGUCAACAUUAGGGUUUUAAACCCUAAACUGAACUCUUUCCUUCCAGUCAGCAUUAGGGUUUUAAACCCUAAACUGAACUUUUUCCUUUAGUCAGCAUUAGGGUUUUAAACCCUAAACUGAACUUUCCAAUCAGUCAGCAUUAGAGUUUUAAACCCUAAACUGAACUUUUUUCAUUCAGUCAGCAUUAGGGUUUUAAACCCUAAACUGAACUUUUUCCUUUAGUCAGCAUUAGGGUUUUAAACCCUAAACUGAACUCUUUCCUUCCAGUCAGCAUUAGGGUUUUAAACCCCUAAACUGAACCUUUUCCUUCAGUCAGCAUUAGGGUUUUAAACCUUAAACUGAACUUUUUUCUUUAGUCAGCAUUAGGGUUAUAAACCCUAAACUGAACACUUUCCUUCCAGUCAGCAUUAGGUUUUUAAACCCAAAACUGAACUUUUUGCUUCAGUUAGCAUUAGGGUUUUAAACCCUAAACUGAACUUUUUCCUUUAGUCAGCAUUAGAGUUUUAAACCCUAAACUGAACUUUUCCUUUCAGUCAGCAUUAGAGUUUUAAACCCUAAACUGAAC